rnacentral:rRNA from 1 species
UACGAAGGGGACUAGCGUUGUUCGGAAUCACUGGGCGUAAAGCGCACGUAGGCGGAUUCGUAAGUCAGGGGUGAAAUCCCGGGGCUCAACCUCGGAACUGCCUUUGAUACUGCGGGUCUUGAGUCCGAUAGAGGUGGGUGGAAUUCCUAGUGUAGAGGUGAAAUUCGUAGAUAUUAGGAAGAACACCGGUGGCGAGGGCGGCCCACUGGAUCGGUACUGACGCUGAGGUGCGAAAGCGUGGGGAGCAAACAGG